GAUGAACGCUGGCGGCGUGCCUAAUACAUGCAAGUCGAGCGAACAGACGAGGAGCUUGCUCCUCUGACGUUAGCGGCGGACGGGUGAGUAACACGUGGAUAACCUACCUAUAAGACUGGGAUAACUUCGGGAAACCGGAGCUAAUACCGGAUAAUAUAUUGAACCGCAUGGUUCAAUAGUGAAAGACGGUUUUGCUGUCACUUAUAGAUGGAUCCGCGCCGCAUUAGCUAGUUGGUAAGGUAACGGCUUACCAAGGCAACGAUGCGUAGCCGACCUGAGAGGGUGAUUGGCCACACUGGAACUGAGACACGGUCGAGACUCCUACGGGAGGCAGCAGUAGGGAAUCUUCCGCAAUGGGCGAAAGCUUGACGGAGCAACGCCGCGUGAGUGAUGAAGGUCUUCGGAUCGUAAAACUCUGUUAUUAGGGAAGAACAAAUGUGUAAGUAACUAUGCACGUCUUGACGGUACCUAAUCAGAAAGCCACGGCUAACUACGUG
rnacentral:rRNA from 1 species